GCAGCCAUAGCUCAGUUGGUUAGAGCGCUCGCCUGUCACGCGAGAGGUCGCGGGUUCAAGUCCCGCUGGUUGCGCCA
rnacentral:tRNA from 2 species